rnacentral:rRNA from 1 species
GACGAACGCUGGCGGCGUGCUUAACACAUGCAAGUCGAGCGAUGAAGCUCCUUCGGGAGUGGAUUAGCGGCGGACGGGUGGGUAACACGUGGGUAACCUGCCUCAUAGAGGGGAAUAGCCUUCCGAGAGGAAGAUUAAUACCGCAUAAGAUUGUAGUACCGCAUGGUAUAGCAAUUAAAGGAGCAAUCCGCUAUGAGAUGGACCCGCGUCGCAUUAGCCAGUUAGUGAGGUAACGGCUCACCAAGGCGACGAUGCGUAGCCGACCUGAGAGGGUGAUCGGCCACAUUGGGACUGAGACACGGCCCAGACUCCUACGGGAGGCAGCAGUGGGGAAUAUUGCACAAUGGGGGAAACCCUGAUGCAGCAACGCCGCGUGAGUGAUGACGGUCUUCGGAUUGUAAAACUCUGUCUUCAGGGACGAUAAUGACGGUACCUGAGGAGGAAGCCACGGCUAACUACGUGCCAGCCGCCGCCGUAACAC